CUCGUAGGCGGUUCAGUAAGUCGGGUGUGAAAACUUUGGGCUUAACCCAAAGCGUGCAUCCGAUACUGCUGUGACUUGAGUACGGUAGGGGAGCGGGGAAUUCCUAGUGUAGCGGUGAAAUGCGCAGAUAUUAGGAGGAACACCGGUGGCGAAGGCGCCGCUCUGGGCCGAAACUGACGCUGAGGAGCGAAAGCAUGGGUAGCAAACA
rnacentral:rRNA from 1 species